rnacentral:rRNA from 2 species
GUAUUGAUUGGUGCUUGCAUCAUGAUUUACAUUUGAGUGAGUGGCGAACUGGUGAGUAACACGUGGGAAACCUGCCCAGAAGCGGGGGAUAACACCUGGAAACAGAUGCUAAUACCGCAUAACAACUUGGACCGCAUGGUCCGAGUUUGAAAGAUGGCUUCGGCUAUCACUUUUGGAUGGUCCCGCGGCGUAUUAGCUAGAUGGUGGGGUAACGGCUCACCAUGGCAAUGAUACGUAGCCGACCUGAGAGGGUAAUCGGCCACAUUGGGACUGAGACACGGCCCAAACUCCUACGGGAGGCAGCAGUAGGGAAUCUUCCACAAUGGACGAAAGUCUGAUGGAGCAACGCCGCGUGAGUGAAGAAGGGUUUCGGCUCGUAAAACUCUGUUGUU